rnacentral:misc_RNA from 1 species
UAGCUUUUCUGAAAAUUUUGUUUUGAGUUAUGUGUUUUGUAUUUUAUACCGAAAAAUAUUAAUUUUGUUAUCAAAAAAAUAGUGUUUAAAAUGGAAAACAAUGAGAUUACAAUGUAUAUGGAUGUUAAACUGGAUAUACAUAAUAAACGCCCAGAUUCACUGAAGUUCAAGCAAUGGUCCAGAUGUGAAGUAAAAAUUGAAGGCAUCAAAUGCCUACCUAGCUACUUACGUAUCGCAAUCACGGGAUGUAAUGAUGCUGAUGGAUGCCUGACGGAGGAACAACGUUUCCAAUCCAAAAGAUAUAUUAGUGUUUCCAUUAUAGUGCCGGGCGUUAGCAUAAGUUUAGCAUCUUCGCGAACGAAAGAGUUCAGCUAUGGGCUAUUCUGGACACAAAAUCGAAAGCAGUGUUUUAUCUAUUUUGCCUUGGAAACAGAGAUAAGUUGCAGGCGUCAUAUGAAAUGGAUAAAAAAGACUAUAAAAAAUUUAGAAUUACAUCGGCAAUUAAUGCUGGAGCAGAAUAGAAUGAGCCGUGGUCCGAGUAUGGGCGUGGCUGGCAUCAACACAAGGCAGUUCGAAAAGGAAAAUUCCCAGAAUCCCAUGCCGAAAAAUGUGAAUGAAGAUUCGACUGAGGCUAUUUAUUCAUCCCUUGGACCUUUGCCAAAAAUUCCUACUUGCCAUGAUAACAACGAUCAUGGUUGGUCUAGGCAAAAUUCGGAUAUUUAUGAAGAAAUACUUGAAUACGUUGACGGGCAGCCACGUCUUUCACGACGUGUGUCACGAGCAUCAAUUGCUUCUGGUAUUUAUGAGGAGAUGAAGCCUACUACACAAGCAUUUAACGCCAUCCAUGAAGAGUCCGCUGAAUCACAGCAGGGGUCAACAACUGGAACUACACCGCCGCCACUGCCACCGCUUCCACCACCUCGCAAACGUAUAAACACUUUCGAUGGUCAAGGAAUCUUGGGUGAAAUACCGCGUUCAAAUACAAAUCCCGAGUCAGAAUUAGCCAAGAAAAAGAAAUAUAAAAAUGUUUUGGACAAUAUAUUUGGUAGUGGACGAGCCAAACGUGCUGAAAGUGUAAGCGAAACACAGGCUUGCACUGCAGAAGAUAUAAUUAAUAGUAUUACGCCUACUAAACCGAUUAAAAAUGAUGAAGGAACUACACCUAUAUAUGCUAACGAUGCAGCUGCGAUAGCGCAGAAAAAGUCAUGGACAACAACUGUGGCAGCUAUAUCAAAGCGAAAUAGUUUUUCCUCGCCAGACCUAUCAAAAAUCAACUACUUGGACACGUUUGAUGAAAAUGAAAUCGUUGGCGGUGCAUUGCAUGAUUCCAUUGCAGCCUGUGAUGAUCUAAAUUUUACCGGCGAAAGCCUCCAUAACGCUUGUUUCGUGCCGUCCAAAGAAGCAUGUUUAAUAACGAAUGGAAGGAUAUCAACGGAUAGUCUAAAUGUGUCUGAAAAAAUUCCAAACAAUUUUAAUUUUUCAGCUAUCAAUUCGUCUAGUAUAAAUUUAAUAGGCUAUAAUGGUGCCACCAUACCUGCAAGUAAUCAAAAAAGGAAUAAAAUAUUGGUAGACGAUUUAACAGGGUAUUGUGUGAUGGCACCUAUCCAACCCAAGAAAACGGAAGAAACGGCUACCGACAAGGUACCUACAGACCCAACCACAUCCGGUUAUUCUACUAACUCAUAUCCAUCGACAAGUUCUUCCUCUGCAGAAGAACCGAAAGCAUCAGCUCCAAAAAUAACUCAUAAAGACACUGCAGAAGAGAGUGCGAUUUAUGAGCAAAUGUUGGAUUUGCACAAAUCUAGCAUCGAAGUGGAUACCACAUCAAAUAAAUGUAAUAUGAAGCAAAUCGAUGAUUCGGCUACUCUCAGCUCAGCGACUGCUUUGACAUCCACCUCCAACGUUGAUGAUUUUACCGGUAAUUUGUACGAGAAUUUAUUGGCUGUUAAAGCAUCACAAGAAUUGGAACAUAAACUACCACCUGCCUCCCUAAGCACAAGUACCCCAACAGAGUCGCCGCACACACAACCAGCAGUGGAAACUGAAAAGUCGGCAGAGGAAGAGGAAAACUACUAUCAAACGCCGCGAAAGUCAAUUAUCAGUGUUGAUGACAAAAUUCCUUCUUACUAUCCGAACAGCUGUGAUACAGCCAAAACUCGUCGCCACCAUAUAUUGGCUACAGCGAGUCCUCAACAGACAGUGGCUAAUUCUUCACCAACAAUAUCUGGUUCGGGCACAACCGAGAAAUCCAACAACCCCGCAUCAUCGGUUGGUUUACGUCACUUAGUUACUUUGAAAAUAAAGCGUGAGCGCAAAGAGAAUCUUUACAUAUCAUCGCCACAAAGCAUCAUAGAGCAGCGACAAUGUGGGAAUUAUGCGACGGAGGCAGACAACAAAAGUGCACCGAAAAGCAGCAAAGUGCAUAAAACUCUACGGGCGGGUGCUUUAAAAAUUGCCGAACAUGUCUAUACCGUUAAGCAUGCUAAGCAGAAAAGUAGCGCAGCCGACAAGCAUCUCAACAACAACAACAAUGAAGCAGAUGUGACGAAUUUUGCCGAAGAUGUGCGUGAACGCCUGCAAACGGAGUUGCUGCAGUUCGCACUGUUGCAAAAGAUUGACUUUAAAUUUGAUGACGCAAAAACAGCUGCUGAUCAGCCGAAUCCGUUGGAGGGACUUAAAACGCCAUCGCCUACCGGAAGGCGACAACCAACCAACGCCACCGAUAAAGAGCGCAUCUACGAGAAUCUGCUGCAGCACCAUCUACAGUUGCGGCAAGCUGAAAACCGUUUAUCUGCUGGCAUUGGCAGCAAAGUGUCCACCACACCGGUGUCUAGCACCAGCGUGACAAACUCCAAAUUGGAAAUGCAUCAGAGCUGCAUGGCGGGUGUAGGCGAUGAGGCCAACAUGGUCGACGGUGGCAUGGCUGAGGCAGUUGACAGCUGCAGCGCAGACGCAGCUGUAGGCGGUCUAAGUGGUGUGAAAAAAUUUGCUUCGCUGCCGCGUUUCAAAAAAAUCGACUUCUCGCCACUGCGCUUGCGAAUCAACAAUGUGCUGCAACGCGGCCAGCAGCAGGAUUUUUAAUUGUAAUCACCACUCCACCUAAGAUCUAUCUCGCAAAGGGUGUGUAAUCUAGUGUAAUUCAGUUUAAACGCGCGGAUCGUUACUAGUUUAGCUGUAAUCGCUUUAAAAGUGUGCUUAUCUUAAAGCUCUUGCGCUUGUUUUUAACCUCUAGAAGUAAGUUUUUACGUAAGCUUUCUCAUUUCAAAUAAGCUUUGGCUGUUCUAUGUAUAGUACAAAAACGUCGAAAUUCGACUCAAAAGUGUGACUUUCCGUGAAUUAUCGUAUUGAAACUAUGUAACACUUAUUUUUCCAAACUUUUCACAAUUUGUGCUUAAUUUUUUUGUAAAUAUAUAUAUUUUUCGUUUUCUUUAUAUAAUUUGUAUUUUAAAAUAUGUGUAGUUACUGUGUUACUGUAUAAAAAAC